CAAAUACUCCCUCCGUCCGGAAAUACUUGUCAUCAAAAUGGAUAAAAGGAAAUGUAUCUAGACGUAUUUUAGUUUUAGAUACAUCUCCUUUUAUCCAUUUUGAUGACAAGUAUUUUCGGACGGAGGGAGUAGAAA
rfam:Triticum aestivum genome assembly, contig: Triticum_aestivum_CS42_TGACv1_scaffold_424021_5BS